GCACGUCAUACUCACACUAGUACACCAACCUACCAAGCUGUCUAGGAUUUCCAAAGCCUGGUAUCACUCACUAAGCACAAGUAUCUCCUGGCUCCAGGGGCAUCCAGAGACAACUGUAUUGCAGAACUUACUAGCUAUGCAUCACAUGUUUAUACUUACCCAUAUCAGUAUAGCACUAACAUCUCGCCAAUAACUUGAACUUCAUUACAAACGGAAAGCUCGCUCAUGUAUAUUUUAAUCUGCAUUUUCAAGUAUCACUCACACUCAAAAAGGAGGAAUGGGUUAGUGUGUGAUAAGAAGAGACUGG